UACGAAGGGUGCAAGCGUUACUCGGAAUUACUGGGCGUAAAGCGUGCGUAGGUGGUUUGUCAAGUCUGUUGUGAAAGCCCCGGGCUCAACCUGGGAAUGGCAAUGGAUACUGGAAGGCUAGAGUGCGGUAGAGGGUAGUGGAAUUCCCGGUGUAGCGGUGAAAUGCGUAGAGAUCGGGAGGAACACCAGUGGCGAAGGCGGCUACCUGGACCAGCACUGACACUGAGGCACGAAAGCGUGGGGAGCAAACAGG
rnacentral:rRNA from 1 species